AUUAGCUCAAUUGGAUAGAGCAUUUGGCUUCGGACCAAAAGGUUGAGGGUUCAAAUCCUUUA
rnacentral:tRNA from 1 species